GACGAACGCUGGCGGCGUGCUUAACACAUGCAAGUCGAACGAAGAGCGAUGGUUGCUUGCUUCUAUCAGUCUUAGUGGCGAACGAGCGUGUAACGGGUAAGCAACCUGCCCCUCAGAGGGGGACCACAGAUGGCAACGACUGCUGAUACCACAUACGAACCAAUCCCGGCAUCGAGUAUAGAUGAAUGGUCGUCUCUACAUGUAAGCUAUUACCGAAGGCGGGGAUUAGGACCGGUUAGCUAGGGGGGGGGGUAACGGCCUACCAAGGCGAUGAUCAGUAGCCGGACUGAGGGGAUGAACAGCAGCAUUGGGAAUGGGACGCGCCCCAGACCUGUGAGGGAGGCAGCAGUGGGGAAUCUUCCGCAAUGAACGGAAGGCUGACUGAGCAAAGCCGCGUGAGCGAUGACGGGCUUCGGGUUGUAAAGGUCUAUUGAUCGGGAGGAAAGGACUUCUUGCGAAUAGUGAGAAGGAUUGACGGUACCGGAAGAGAAAGCCACGGCUAACUCCGUG
rnacentral:rRNA from 1 species